rnacentral:misc_RNA from 1 species
UUUCCGUAGGUGAACCUGCGGAAGGAUCACUAAUGUGUUUGGGCCUCACGGCUCUUCAUUCCGACGCUGUGCGCCUUCGGGCUGCACGCUGAGGGAGCAUAUAUCCACCCCUGUGCACACACACGGUGGCGAGCUGGGUAACGGCUCGCCGCUGAUCUUUACACACGUCUAAAAGUCAUUGUAUGUUUAUUUGAGAUAAAAACACAACUUUCAGCAACGGAUCUCUUGGCUCUCGCAUCGAUGGAGAACGCAGC